UGUUUCGGCUAGGGGGCCAUCCCGGCUUACCAACCCGAUGCAAACUGCGAAUACCGGAGAAUGUUAUCACGGGAGACACACGGCGGGUGCUAACGUCCGUCGUGAAGAGGGAAACAACCCAGACCGCCAGCUAAGGUCCCAAAGUCAUGGUUAAGUGGGAAACGAUGUGGGAAGGCCCAGACAGCCAGGAUGUUGGCUUAGAAGCAGCCAUCAUUUAAAGAAAGCGUAAUAGCUCACUGGUCGAGUCGGCCUGCGCGGAAGAUGUAACGGGGCUAAACCAUGCACCGAAGCUGCGGCAGCGACGCUGAUGCGUUGUUGGGUAGGGGAGCGUUCUGUAAGCCUGCGAAGGUGGCCUGUGAGGGUUGCUGGAGGUAUCAGAAGUGCGAAUGCUGACAUAAGUAACGAUAAAGCGGGUGAAAAGCCCGCUCGCCGGAAGACCAAGGGUUCCUGUCCAACGUUAAUCGGGGCAGGGUGAGUCGACCCCUAAGGCGAGGCCGAAAGGCGUAGUCGAUGGGAAACGGGUUAAUAUUCCCGUACUUGGUGUUACUGCGAAGGGGGGACGGAGAAGGCUAUGUUGGCCGGGCGACGGUUGUCCCGGUUUAAGCGUGUAGGUGUGUGUUCCAGGUAAAUCCGGUUCACUUUAACACUGAGGCGUGAUGACGAGGCACUACGGUGCUGAAGCAACAAAUGCCCUGCUUCCAGGAAAAGCCUCUAAGCAUCAGGUAACAUCAAAUCGUACCCCAAACCGACACAGGUGGUCAGGUAGAGAAUACCAAGGCGCUUGAGAGAACUCGGGUGAAGGAACUAGGCAAAAUGGUGCCGUAACUUCGGGAGAAGGCACGCUGACACGUAGGUGAAGUGAUUUACUCAUGGAGCUGAAGUCAGUCGAAGAUACCAGCUGGCUGCAACUGUUUAUUAAAAACACAGCACUGUGCAAACACGAAAGUGGACGUAUACGGUGUGACGCCUGCCCGGUGCCGGAAGGUUAAUUGAUGGGGUCAGCGCAAGCGAAGCUCCUGAUCGAAGCCCCGGUAAACGGCGGCCGUAACUAUAACGGUCCUAAGGUAGCGAAAUUCCUUGUCGGGUAAGUUCCGACCUGCACGAAUGGCGUAAUGAUGGCCAGGCUGUCUCCACCCGAGACUCAGUGAAAUUGAACUCGCUGUGAAGAUGCAGUGUACCCGCGGCAAGACGGAAAGACCCCGUGAACCUUUACUAUAGCUUGACACUGAACAUUGAGCCUUGAUGUGUAGGAUAGGUGGGAGGCUUUGAAGUGUGGACGCCAGUCUGCAUGGAGCCGACCUUGAAAUACCACCCUUUAAUGUUUGAUGUUCUAACGUGGACCCGUGAUCCGGGUUGCGGACAGUGUCUGGUGGGUAGUUUGACUGGGGCGGUCUCCUCCUAAAGAGUAACGGAGGAGCACGAAGGUUGGCUAAUCCUGGUCGGACAUCAGGAGGUUAGUGCAAUGGCAUAAGCCAGCUUGACUGCGAGCGUGACGGCGCGAGCAGGUGCGAAAGCAGGUCAUAGUGAUCCGGUGGUUCUGAAUGGAAGGGCCAUCGCUCAACGGAUAAAAGGUACUCCGGGGAUAACAGGCUGAUACCGCCCAAGAGUUCAUAUCGACGGCGGUGUUUGGCACCUCGAUGUCGGCUCAUCACAUCCUGGGGCUGAAGUAGGUCCCAAGGGUAUGGCUGUUCGCCAUUUAAAGUGGUACGCGAGCUGGGUUUAGAACGUCGUGAGACAGUUCGGUCCCUAUCUGCCGUGGGCGCUGGAGAACUGAGGGGGGCUGCUCCUAGUACGAGAGGACCGGAGUGGACGCAUCACUGGUGUUCGGGUUGUCAUGCCAAUGGCACUGCCCGGUAGCUAAAUGCGGAAGAGAUAAGUGCUGAAAGCAUCUAAGCACGAAACUUGCCCCGAGAUGAGUUCUCCCUGAGACUUUAGGUCUCCUGAAGGAACGUUGAAGACGACGACGUUGAUAGGCCGGGUGUGUAAGCGCAGCGAUGCGUUGAGCUAACCGGUACUAAUGAACCGUGAGGCUUAACCUU
rnacentral:rRNA from 1 species